rnacentral:rRNA from 1 species
CGCGUAGGCGGUCUGUUAAGUGUGAAGUGAAAUCCCCCGGCUCAACCGGGGACGUGCUUUGCAUACUGGUGGACUUGAGUCCGAGAGGGGGUGGUGGAAUUCCUGGUGUAGGGGUGAAAUCCGUAGAGAUCAGGAGGAACACCGUUGGCGAAGGCGGCCACCUGGAUCGGUACUGACGCUGAGGCGCGAAAGCGUGGGGAGCAAACAGGAUUAGAUACCCUGGUAGUCC